AGUGAACGCUGGCGGUAGGCCUAACACAUGCAAGUCGAACGGCAGCACAGUAAGAGCUUGCUCUUACGGGUGGCGAGUGGCGGACGGGUGAGGAAUACAUCGGAAUCUACUUUUUCGUGGGGGAUAACGUAGGGAAACUUACGCUAAUUCCGCAUACGACCUACGGGUGAAAGCAGGGGAUCUUCGGACCUUGCGCGAUUGAAUGAGCCGAUGUCGGAUUAGCUAGUUGGCGGGGUAAAGGCCCACCAAGGCGACGCUCCGUAGCUGGUCUGAGAGGAUGAUCAGCCACACUGGAACUGAGACACGGUCCAGACUCCUACGGGAGGCAGCAGUGGGGAAUAUUGGACAAUGGGCGCAAGCCUGAUCCAGCCAUACCGCGUGGGUGAAGAAGGCCUUCGGGUUGUAAAGCCCUUUUGUUGGGAAAGAAAAGCAGCAGGUUAAUACCCCGCUGUUCUGACGGUACCCAAAGAAUAAGCACCGGCUAACUUCGUG
rnacentral:rRNA from 1 species